rnacentral:tRNA from 1 species
UCCCUGGUGGCUCAGUGGGUUAAGGAUCCAGCAUUGUCACUGCUGUGGUGCAGGUUUGAUUCCUGGUCUGGGAA